CCGCCCGUAGCGUAGCUGGAUAACGCAACGGAUUCCGAUUCCGGAGAUCGGAGGUUCAAAUCCUCUCGGGCGGGCCA
rnacentral:tRNA from 1 species